rnacentral:rRNA from 1 species
AUUGAACGCUGGCGGCAGGCCUAACACAUGCAAGUCGAGCGGCAGCGGGAAGUAGCUUGCUACUUUGCCGGCGAGCGGCGGACGGGUGAGUAAUGUCUGGGAAACUGCCUGAUGGAGGGGGAUAACUACUGGAAACGGUAGCUAAUACCGCAUGACCUCGCAAGAGCAAAGUGGGGGACCUUCGGGCCUCACGCCAUCGGAUGUGCCCAGAUGGGAUUAGCUAGUAGGUGAGGUAAUGGCUCACCUAGGCGACGAUCCCUAGCUGGUCUGAGAGGAUGACCAGCCACACUGGAACUGAGACACGGUCCAGACUCCUACGGGAGGCAGCAGUGGGGAAUAUUGCACAAUGGGCGCAAGCCUGAUGCAGCCAUGCCGCGUGUGUGAAGAAGGCCUUCGGGUUGUAAAGCACUUUCAGCGAGGAGGAAGGCAUUAAGGUUAAUAACCUUAGUGAUUGACGUUACUCGCAGAAGAAGCACCGGCUAACUCCGUGCCAGCAGCCGCGGUAAUACGGAGGGUGCAAGCGUUAAUCGGAAUUACUGGGCGUAAAGCGCACGCAGGCGGUUUGUUAAGUCAGAUGUGAAAUCCCCGAGCUUAACUUGGGAACUGCAUUUGAAACUGGCAAGCUAGAGUCUUGUAGAGGGGGGUAGAAUUCCAGGU